AAACAUAGAAGUUUGGUCCUGGCCUUUUUAUGAAUUCUCAGUAAAAUUACACAUACAAGCAUCCCCGCCCCAGUGAGAAUGCCCUCCAGAUCACCUGGUUCAAAAGAAGGAGGUAUCAAGCACGCAUAAACGCAGCUCAAAACACUUUGCUCGACCACACCUCCACGGGAAACAGCAGUGAUAAAUUUUAAGUCAUAAGUGAAAGUAUGACUAACCUAUACUAAUAUUUAGGGUUGGUAAAUUUUGUGCCAGCCACCGCGGCCAUACGAUUAACCCAAGCUAAUAAAACUCGGCAUAAAGAGUGUUUAAGGUCUGCAGUCAAUAAAGUUAAGCUCCAUCUAAAUCGUAAAAAUCUCCAGCUGAAAUAAAAUAUACUACGAAAGUGACUUUAAUGUCCUGAGGACACAACAGCUAAGGCAGAAACUGAGAUUAGAAACCCCACUAUGCUUAGCCCUAAACACAAAUAGUUAUAUUAACAAGACUGUUCGCCAGAGUACUACAUGCAGCAGCUUAAAACUCAAAGGACUUGGCUGUGCUUUAUAGCCUUCUAGAGGAGCCGGUUCUAUAAUUGAUAAACCCCGAUAUACCUCACAAUCUCUUGUCACUUAGCCUAUAUAACACCAGCUUCAGCAAACCCUAAAAUAUAUAUAUGUAUAUAUAAAGUAAACACAAGUAUGCACUAGGUCAAGGUGUAGUCCAUGGGAUGGUAAGAAAUGGACUACAUUUUCUACAUCCAGAAAAAUCUCAUAAUAACCUUCAUGAAAUCUAAAUGUUCAAAGAGGAUUUAGUAGUAAAUCAAGAACAGAGUGCUUGAUUGAAUAAGGCCAUAAGGCACGCACACAACGCCCAUCACCCUCCUCAAGUAGUGCUCUAGAAAUCACUAUUAUUAAUAAUUACUUACACACAUACAGAGGAGAUAAGUCAUAACACGGUAAGUGUACUGGAAAGUGCACCUGGAUAAACCAAAGU
rnacentral:ncRNA from 1 species